rnacentral:misc_RNA from 1 species
GAUGAAGAACGUAGCGAAAUGCGAUAAGUAAUGUGAAUUGCAGAAUUCAGUGAAUCAUCGAAUCUUUGAACGCACAUUGCGCCCGCCAGUAUUCUGGCGGGCAUGCCUGUUCGAGCGUCAUUUCAACCAUCAAGCCCCAGGCUUGUGUUGGGGACCUGCGGCUGCCGCAGGCCCUGAAAACCAGUGGCGGGCUCGCUGUCACACCGGGCGUAGUAGAUUUUAUCUCGCUCAGGGCGUGCUGCGGGUUCCGGCCGUUAAAAAGCCUUUUUUACCCAAGGUUGACCUCGGAUCAGGUAGGAAUACCCGCUGAACUUAAGCAUAUCAAUAAGCGGGGA